rnacentral:rRNA from 1 species
GUCUACAGCCUUGCCAUCCUGAACAUGCCCAACCUCAUCUGAUCUUGGAAGCUAAGCAAGAUCGGGCCUGGUUAGUAAUUGAAUGGGAGACCACCUAGGAAGACCCGGUGCUGUAGGCA